CCGGAUUCCCUCCUUCUUUCUAUUAUUUGUAUACUGAAGGUGGAGCUCCGAGGAUUGUGGAGCAACUCACUUGAUUGCUAAGUGUGUUGCGACUGUGUUGCGUCUGUUAAUUGCCGACUUUCCAACGGCGUUGCAGGGGCUUUGGCUUCUUUUUGUUUAGUUCCUUCUUGUUUCUGAUUUUUUUCAUGAGCGUUCUGGGAGCUCCGAUUGUUAGAGGGAUCUUCUGAUGUGUGUGUGUGUUCUUUUCUUUUCUUUUCUUUUCUGGUGUGUGCGUUCUGUUCUGGGUCUCUAAAGUUCAAGGUGGUUGCGGAAGGUCUUCCCCUUCCUUUGUGUGGUUCACGACGGUUGAGCGAGUUGGAACAAGAUUGCGUUGCUCUUCCUUCCCUCUGUUUUUGGCUCUGAUCUUCACUUGGUUCUAUGGCGGUGGAGAGAGCACCUCAAGUGGUGUUGAUGGCGGUGUUGCCUUCCUCAAAGAUCUAAGUUCAACGGUGUGCGGCUAUUGUCCACACUAAUUGUGUUCUUCGUCGAGUAGCAAGUGUGCGGUUCCUUGUUGUCUAAGAUCUUGUUGUUUUUGUGGUGUGGCGACGGUGUCAUCUACAACGAAGUGGGCUCGCGGCAUGAUGGAGUAUUCGAGCGGGUCAACCUUCACCAGCGUGAAUUCAUAUGUGGUUGUUGUUGUGGCUUGGUUGCGAUUCCUAGGUGCUGCGGCUGAAGUCGCUCGGUGGAGCUCGUCGGUGUAGUGCGGCAGUCGACCUGACCAUAGGAUGGGAUGACAUUGCUCAAAAGUGGAUGCUGAGAAGGAUUUCAACAGAACUGCCAAUGUGUUGGAGUGCAUGAGCUAACUUGGUCGCUUAAAAAGAAAGAAACUCCAGAAUGGUGGCAUAUUGUAGGUAGCACAACAUCCUCGUGAGAUACUUAGCAAAGGCUAGUAUAGUGAAAAAUUACUUAAGCAGCUCGGUGAUCAAUGAGACCGUCAGCCAUGCUUCUCGAACAAUGUAAUACGAGUCUCAUUCAAGUACCCAACAAUCAGAACAUUGGGUAGCGUUUUUGUGAUCCUCUUGCUAGGUCUCCUCUGUAGUUUCUCAAAUUUUUGUCACAAGCCAUCUGGGAGGUACCAUUGCCCAACUUAGUUCUGCAGAGGUUUUGAGAAGGAACGACAAUGAGCAAUCAGUGUCAACAUCAAGUUUGAGUCCAUCAAGUAUUUCAGCAACACUGCCGUAGCUGCUCCACUAGUCGCUGACAUAUCUUGAUACAAAUAUCUUGAAACCAUGAUACACUAUAGAUACACUAUACAUGAGACUAUAAACAAGAACUUGAUUAAAUUAGAUGAGUACAAGAUUAAUGCCAAAAAUGUGAGCUAGAACUCCAAGAAAUAUGUUGUUGGGACUAAGGAUCUCCUCAACAUUGACUUUUAUAUAUAUUAGGUAUUAAAAAGCUUUUCAAGAAAUUUCUAUGUUGCUUGAAGAUAAAGCAACUUUAGAAAGCUUCUUAGACACCUUCUUUAAUU